rnacentral:rRNA from 1 species
AUGCGGAUGCAAGAGUGUCCCGCAGUCUUUAGGGGGUAUAGAGGCGCAGGUGGUGUAUCAAGUCUGCUGUCAAAAAAGAGCGAAUCUCUCCUUAUCGGCGCGUAGGAUGAUGAACUAGAGACGGUAGGAGUCGGUAGAAUUAUCAGUGUAGUAGCGAAAAAUGUAGCAUGAUUGGGAAGAGCACCAGCAAUGAAAAAGCAGAUUGGUCCACGAUUUGCACUCAUGAGGCGAAAGCUGCGGGAGGGACAAGGAUUAGUUGAUCCCGUAGUAGUACCCGUCAUAGACGAUCAGUAGUGGGUGUCCGACUUGUCCCGGGCAGUGUAGUAAACAACGUAAGCACUCCACCUGGGAAGGAGUGUGGCAACAAGAAACUCAUCAGAAUUGACGGGGGGCCGCACAACAGGUGGAGCAUGUGGUUUAAUAAUUAGCAACAAGCAGAACCUCCUCAGCUCUUGACAUCCAGUGAACAAUGGUGAAAACAGGGGGUGCCGCCAAGGGAACCGUGAGCCCGGUGGUGCAUGGUCGUUGUUAACUUGUGUUGUGAGAAGUUGGGUUAAGUUCCGCAACGAAGGCCACCCCUGUUUUUUAGUGCCCAGCAUUCAGUUGGGCACUCUAGAGAGACUGCCGGUGACAAUCGGGAGGAAGGUGGGGAGGAGUUCAAGUCACCAUGCCCCUUACGUCUUGGGCUACACACGUAUUACAAUGCUUCGGACAGAGGGUGGGCACCCCGAGAGGGAGACCUAAUCCAUUAAACCGGGGUUCAUUUCAGAUGGCAGGUUGCAAUUGGCCUGCAUGAAGGCGGAAUCGCUAGUAAUCGCCGGUCAGCAUACGGCGGUGAAUACGUUCCCGGGCC